GCAAACUUGGUCAUUUAGAGGAAGUAAAAGUCGUAACAAGGUUUCCGUAGGUGAACCUGCGGAAGGAUCAUUACUGAAGAAAUGAUAGUGGUUGAGCUGACUCUCAAGUAUGUGCUUGCCCUAUCGCUUUUUCUAUUCUCCACUGUGAACCUAAUGUAGGCUAUAAUAAACUCUCAGGUCUGUGACAAUGGACUUGGAUAGAGGGCUAUGCUUUUUAUAUAUAAGGAGCUUGCCUUCAACUGUUAUAGCCUAUGUCUAUACAAACUCUUAUACUCUAUGAAUGCAUACUUGGUUUUUAUUAACCAAUAAUCAUAUACAACUUUCAGCAACGGAUCUCUUGGCUCUCGCAUCGAUGAAGAACGCAGC
rnacentral:misc_RNA from 1 species